UACGUAGGCAGCGAGCGUUGUUCGGAAUUACUGGGCGUAAAGAGUGUGUAGGCGGUGCUCUAAGUUCGGUGUGAAAUCUCCCGCUUAACUGGGAGGGUGCGCCGGAAAUGGAGUGCUCGAGCGUGGGAGAGGAAAGCGGAAGUUCCUGGUGUAGCGGUGGAAUGCGCAGAUAUCAGGAGGAACACCGGUGGCGAAGGCGGAUCUCUGGGCCAUAACUGACGC
rnacentral:rRNA from 1 species